CUACGGGCUGCAGCAGUGGGGAAUAUUGCACAAUGGGCGCAAGCCUGAUGCAGCCAUGCCGCGUGUAUGAAGAAGGCCUUCGGGUUGUAAAGUACUUUCAGCGGGGAGGAAGGGAGUAAAGUUAAUACCUUUGCUCAUUGACGUUACCCGCAGAGGAAGCACCGGCUAACUCCGUGCCAGCAGCCGCGGUAAUACGGAGGGUGCAAGCGUUAAUCGGAAUUACUGGGCGUAAAGCGCACGCAGGCGGUUUGUUAAGUCAGAUGUGAAAUCCCCGGGCUCAACCUGGGAACUGCAUCUGAUACUGGCAAGCUUGAGUCUCGUAGAGGGGGGUAGAAUUCCAGGUGUAGCGGUGAAAUGCGUAGAGAUCUGGAGGAAUACCGGUGGCGAAGGCGGCCCCCUGGACGAAGACUGACGCUCAGGUGCGAAAGCGUGGGGGGCAAACAGGAUUAGAUACCCUGGUAGUC
rnacentral:rRNA from 1 species